UCUGCCUGGUAGUGGGGGAUAACGUUCGGAAACGGACGCUAAUACCGCAUACGUCCUACGGGAGAAAGUGGGGGAUCUUCGGACCUCACGCUAUCAGAUGAGCCUAGGUCGGAUUAGCUAGUUGGUGGGGUAAAGGCUCACCAAGGCGACGAUCCGUAACUGGUCUGAGAGGAUGAUCAGUCACACUGGAACUGAGACACGGUCCAGACUCCUACGGGAGGCAGCAGUGGGGAAUAUUGGACAAUGGGCGAAAGCCUGAUCCAGCCAUGCCGCGUGUGUGAAGAAGGUCUUCGGAUUGUAAAGCACUUUAAGUUGGGAGGAAGGGCAGCUAGUUAAUACCUGGUUGUUUUGACGUUACCAACAGAAUAAGCACCGGCUAACUUCGUGCCAGCAGCCGCGGUAAUACGAAGGGUGCAAGCGUUAAUCGGAAUUACUGGGCGUAAAGCGCGCGUAGGUGGUUCAGCAAGUUGGAGGUGAAAUCCCCGGGCUCAACCUGGGAACUGCCUCCAAAACUACUGAGCUAGAGUACGGUAGAGGGUGGUGGAAUUUCCUGUGUAGCGCUGAAAUGCGUAGAUAUAGGAAGGGACACCA
rnacentral:rRNA from 1 species